CCUCUUUCAGUCUCUGACUUCUACAACAUGGACAUCAUCAAACAUGGUUUCCUAAGCUUGUUAACACUUCUGCUCUGGAUAAAAGGUCUAGUUGAUGGGAGUGAUGUCACUCAGACUUCCAUACUGUGGAAAUUCAAGGGUGAAAAUGCAACAAUAGACUGCAACCACACCAAGGAUGUUAGCUACAGCCAGAUGUACUGGUACAGACAGCUGCCAGGAGAAGCAAUGAAACUCAUUGUGUUCACUGUUGCAAACAGCAAACCUGACUUUGAACCAGACUUCAGAGAUGAGAGAUUCUCAGCCACUAAGCCUGACUUUGCUAGUGGGACAUUCAAGGUGAAGAAUCUGGAAACAAAAGAUAAAGGCUUGUAUUUCUGUGCUGUGAGUCAACACAGUGAUACAGAUGCACUUGACAGCUGAACAAAAACCUCAGCAAGCUGUUACCAACUGUAUUUAUCUGUUGUACUGUAGGAGGACCUCAAGUACAACACAGAACUCACAAUACA